CCUACGGGCGGCAGCAGUGGGGAAUAUUGCACAAUGGGGGAAACCCUGAUGCAGCGACGCCGCGUGAGUGAAGAAGUAUUUCGGUAUGUAAAGCUCUAUCAGCAGGAACGAAACAAGACGGUACCUGACUAAGAAGCCCCGGCUAACUACGUGCCAGCAGCCGCGGUAAUACGGAGGGGGCAAGCGGUAUCCGUAAUCACUGGGUGUAAGGGGAGCGUAGACGGCUGUGCAAGCCUGAAGUGAAAGGCGGGGGCCCAACCCGUGGACUGCUUCGGGAACUGGACGGCUGGAGUGCAGGAGAGGUAAGUGGAAUUCCUGGUGUAGCGGUGAAAUGCGUAGAUAUUAGGAGGAACACCAGUGGCGAAGGCGGCUUACUGGACUGUAACUGACGUUGAGGCUCGAAAGCGUGGGGAGCAAACAGGAUUAGAUACCCGAGUAGUC
rnacentral:rRNA from 1 species